rnacentral:rRNA from 1 species
GUUUACAGCCAUGUCGCCCUGAACAAGCCCAAUCCCGUCUGAUCUUAGAAGCUGAGCAGGGUCGAGCCUGGUUAGUACUUAGAUGAGAGACCACCUAGAAAGACCAGGUGCUGUAGGCA